rnacentral:rRNA from 1 species
UACGGGGGGGGCAAGCGUUGUUCGGAAUUACUGGGCGUAAAGGGCGCGUAGGCGGCCCGCUUAGUCGGACGUGAAAUCCCUCGGCUCAACCGAGGAACUGCGUCCGAUACUGGCGGGCUCGAAUCCGGGAGAGGGAUGUGGAAUUCCAGGUGUAGCGGUGAAAUGCGUAGAUAUCUGGAGGAACACCGGUGGCGAAGGCGGCAUCCUGGACCAACACUGACGCUGAGGCGCGAAAGCUAGGGGAGCAAACGGG